rnacentral:rRNA from 1 species
GACGAACGCUGGCUGCGUGCUUAACACAUGCAAGUCGAACGGUAAGGCCCUUCGGGGUACACGAGUGGCGAACGGGUGAGUAACACGUGGGUGAUCUGCCCUGCACUUUGGGAUAAGCCUGGGAAACUGGGUCUAAUACCGAAUACACCCUGCUGGUCGAAUGGCCGGGUGGGGGAAAGCUUUUGCGGUGUGGGAUGGGCCCGCGGCCUAUCAGCUUGUUGGUGGGGUGAUGGCCUACCAAGGCGACGACGGGUAGCCGGCCUGAGAGGGUGACCGGCCACACUGGGACUGAGAUACGGCCCAGACUCCUACGGGAGGCAGCAGUGGGGAAUAUUGCACAAUGGGCGCAAGCCUGAUGCAGCGACGCCGCGUGAGGGAUGACGGCCUUCGGGUUGUAAACCUCUUUCAAUAGGGACGAAGCGCAAGUGACGGUACCUAUAGAAGAAGGACCGGCCAACUACGUGCCAGCAGCCGCCGUAA